rnacentral:rRNA from 1 species
GUUUCUCUGGGAAAAGGAAACGGGAGAAAACCGGGAUUGCCUCAGUAACGGCGAGUGAAGCGGCAAGAGCUCAAAUUUGAAAGCUGGCUCCUUCGGAGUCCGCAUUGUAAUUUGCAGAGGAUGCUUUGGGUGCGGCCCCCGUCUAAGUGCCCUGGAACGGGCCGUCAGAGAGGGUGAGAAUCCCGUCUUGGGCGGGGUGUCCGUGCCCGUGUAAAGCUCCUUCGACGAGUCGAGUUGUUUGGGAAUGCAGCUCUAAAUGGGUGGUAAAUUUCAUCUAAAGCUAAAUACUGGCCGGAGACCGAUAGCGCACAAGUAGAGUGAUCGAAAGAUGAAAAGCACUUUGAAAAGAGAGUUAAACAGCACGUGAAAUUGUUGAAAGGGAAGCGCUUGCGACCAGACUCGCCCGCGGGGUUCAGCCGGCAUUCGUGCCGGUGUACUUCCCCGUGGGCGGGCCAGCGUCGGUUUGGGCGGCCGGUCAAAGGCCCCUGGAAUGUAGUGCCCUCCGGGGCACCUUAUAGCCAGGGGUGCAAUGCGGCCAGCCUGGACCGAGGAACGCGCUUCGGCACGGACGCUGGCAUAAUGGUCGUAAACGACCCGUCUUGAAACACGGACCAAGGAGUCUAACAUCUACGCGAGUGUUCGGGUGUCAAACCCGUGCGCGCAGUGAAAGCGAACGGAGGUGGGAGCCCCCUUGCGGGGCGCACCAUCGACCGAUCCUGAUGUCUUCGGAUGGAUUUGAGUAAGAGCGUAGCUGUGGGGACCCGAAAGAUGGUGAACUAUGCCUGAAUAGGGCGAAGCCAGAGGAAACUCUGGUGGAGGCUCGCAGCGGUUCUGACGUGCAAAUCGAUCGUCAAAUUUGGGUAUAGGGGCGAAAGACUAAUCGAACCAUCCUACGCCG